CUGGCGGCGUGCCUAAUACAUGCAAGUCGAGCGGACAGAUGGGAGCUUGCUCCCUGAUGUUAGCGGCGGACGGGUGAGUAACACGUGGGUAACCUGCCUGUAAGACUGGGAUAACUCCGGGAAACCGGGGCUAAUACCGGAUGGUUGUUUGAACCGCAUGGUUCAAACAUAAAAGGUGGCUUCGGCUACCACUUACAGAUGGACCCGCGGCGCAUUAGCUAGUUGGUGAGGUAACGGCUCACCAAGGCAACGAUGCGUAGCCGACCUGAGAGGGUGAUCGGCCACACUGGGACUGAGACACGGCCCAGACUCCUACGGGAGGCAGCAGUAGGGAAUCUUCCGCAAUGGACGAAAGUCUGACGGAGCAACGCCGCGUGAGUGAUGAAGGUUUUCGGAUCGUAAAGCUCUGUUGUUAGGGAAGAACAAGUACCGUUCGAAUAGGGCGGUACCUUGACGGUACCUAACCAGAAAGCCACGGCUAACUACGUGCCAGCAGCCGCGGUAAUACGUAGGUGGCAAGCGUUGUCCGGAAUUAUUGGGCGUAAAGGGCUCGCAGGCGGUUUCUUAAGUCUGAUGUGAAAGCCCCCGGCUCAACCGGGGAGGGUCAUUGGAAACUGGGGAACUUGAGUGCAGAAGAGGAGAGUGGAAUUCCACGUGUAGCGGUGAAAUGCGUAGAGAUGUGGAGGAACACCAGUGGCGAAGGCGACUCUCUGGUCUGUAACUGACGCUGAGGAGCGAAAGCGUGGGGAGCGAACAGGAUUAGAUACCCUGGUAGUCCACGCCGUAAACGAUGAGUGCUA
rnacentral:rRNA from 1 species